CUUGGAAGUCCACCAUUUAGGUGGAUCACUCCCCAAAUAUGGUAACAACCGGUCAAUAUGCACAACCUUUGGUGUUUUAUUAGGUCCAUUCUGGAUACGGUGUUUUCCUGGCUACACAUUUGUCACAGUGUAGACAGUGGUCUCUGACAUCUGCCUUCAUUCCAACCCAGUAGAAUGACUGUUCGAGCUUUAUGAAUGUCUUGGAAACACCAAGGUGACCUCCCAAAGAUUGGGAUCUGGUGAUGGCAGAACAAACAGCACUUGUCUCAGCAACACUGCAUGGUCCUUCCUCUCUAUGACACUGCGGACAAGGGGUACAAGGUCGACGACUUAGAGCGUCAGCAUUCCAGUGAA